GGGGAAAGAGCCUUCUCAAAAUCACACAGCAAAUCGGAGCCUGACAAGAUGCCCACUUCCUGUCUUUUGGCUCUCCAUGAGGUAGCAAACAGUGGCUUUGUAUAUGCUAGGCAGACAAAGAGAAGCUUAUAAGCCAGAGGCGCCAGAGGAGAGUUUAAGUCAUAACCAAAGGAUUUAGGGUCAGAGUUUCCCUUCCUCCUUUCUGGUGAGCCAACCACAUCCUCAACUUCUGGCCACUGAUGGCUACUGAGCUAAAACAUAGGUUGUGGGCAUUGUAGUUACAAUAUUACCUAUUGUGGGCUCAGCAUAGAGCCAGACAGGGGUUUGGCUGGUUUCAAACAAGAUAGAGCACAUACCCACUGGGGAGGCUCAGACAACCUGGGAAGAUUUUCAGGGGAGGAUGGAGAAAGGUCUAGCAGGACAGGUUAUUGUUACCCAGGAGGGUACAGUGGGACUCAGAUCUCCCUGGGUAGGAAUGCUAUUUCUAACACAAGGUGUUAGUACAACCCAAACACGGCCCCACUUAUGGUUGAUAUUGCUUGGCUCUGGACCUCCCAAAGAUCAAUUGAUAUGAGUUGAUGUGCGUAAUGUAUUCUUUUUUUCCUUAAAAUAGAAGAGAGAGAUUGGUGGGGUGAUGGCAUCUGGCUGCCUUCCGGGCCCUAUAGUCCUUACAGGUAAAUGAGGUACAAAGAGAAGUUGUGGGAGCUGAUUUCAUGAGGAUUUUUGUGAGGAAUGGAGAAAUGCUGACAACUCAGCACUGUUCUGAGGACUGUAGGGCUUCUCAGUUCUUAUCCAGAAGAUAAGAGAGGGAGCAAAGGUGACAGGUCACCUGGAGGGAUGGUGGAUGCUUAUCAGUCGCUGUGAAUGUCUAAUGGACAAGACUGGUCAUCAGCAGAUGCCUUGGAGGAGGCCAGCAAAAGGCAUCUGUGACUCCCCUGGAGACUUCAUGAGGAUCUGGCAGGAGUUGGAGGGCCUGCGUGAACAGGCACACAGCACGUGCUCAGUCAACCCUGGCUGCAUCAUGGACACAUCAUCAUCAUCGUGAGAGUAUCAGUAGACUUGAUUAUUCAAACAAUCUAAAGUUGAAGAACCCAAGGCUUUCUUUAAAACAGGACAUGUUGUUUAGAAUCAUAACAGGCAAUGUGAUGCAUUUCAAAAUACUACUGUCCUCUUUAAGCCAUUGUGCCACUGGAGUCUGCCUGAUGCCCCCAAAGGACUCUCUGUAGAGGCCUCUUUAGAGACAAUGAGAUCUUGGAAUCUAAAUUUAGAACCAGAGUAACCAGUGUUGGUGGCCACAUAUCAACCUCUUCCAGAGACCAGCUAACUCUGCCCGGUGGUCUAGUAUGAUCAACGGGGAGGAGACUUCACAGCAAGUGGGCAAAGCCUAUGUGGGAAAUAUGGGCAGUCCCUGCUGCCUCCCAUUCCACCUUGAAGCAAUACAUUAUCACAGAGACAUUUUUCUUUCCUUCAUCAACUUGGUAUUCAGUUGAUGCUUGUUCUGUUACAUGCUAAGCUGUUCUUGGCCUCAGGAAACUCUGGCUUCUUGACUGAUGAUAUUUGGUAGGAGCUGUUAUAGCCAAUCUCCUUGCUUGAU
rnacentral:lncRNA from 1 species